rnacentral:lncRNA from 1 species
GUGAAAAGGCACAGCCGCUGGCAUGAUAGAGGUUUCCUAGAAAGCAGUGAAGAGACCAUAGCCUAAUGCAAGCAGAAAAUUGGGACCAGGAAGAAUAAAGCCAUGAAAUAAUGAGUCUACUGUAUUAGAGGUGAGCCAUUUGAAGUGCUUUGCAGCUGAAGUUAAGACCAGAAAAAAAGUCAAUUCAAGGUCAGAGUUCUAGCCAUUCUUGAUGUUGCCUUGCUCUAUUUAAAAAUGAUGCAGAGAUCCUCUGACCCCUGCUUCCAGCUUCGUGGAACUUCUACUGAUGCUACUGAAUUUUUAUGUAUGUUAAAUGAAUCUUGUAUUAUUUUAGUUUUAAUUUUUGGUGUUAGGUAUAAUUUUACUAUGCAAUAUUUGGGGGACCAUAUAGAAUUUUUUUUCAACUUGAAUGUGAAUUUUAGCUCUCUACUUUAUCCUAAUCAUUUCUCUAAGGGGAAGAGGGGACUAGAUGAUUACUAA